CCUACGGGCGACAGCAGUGAGGAAUAUUGGUCAAUGGGCGCGAGCCUGAACCAGCCAAGUCGCGUGAGGGAUGACGGUCCUACGGAUUGUAAACCUCUUUUGCCGGGGAGCAAGCGUGCGUUCGUGAACGCACGUCGAGAGUACCCGGAGAAAAAGCAUCGGCUAACCCCGUGCCAGCAGCCGCGGUAAUACGGAGGGUGCAAGCGUUGUCCGGAAUCAUUGGGGGCAAAGAGUUCGUAGGCGGCAUGUAAAGUCAGGUGUUAAAGGCGCAGGCUCAACCUGUGUAGGGCACUUGAUACUUGGAAGCUGGAAUGCGGUAGAGGUAAAGGGAAUUCCUGGUGUAGCGGUGAAAUGCUUAGAUAUCAGGAGGAACAUCGGUGGCGUAGGCGCUUUACUGGGCCGUAAUUGACGCUGAGGAACGAAAGCCAGGGUAGCGAAUGGGAUUAGAUACCCGAGUAGUC
rnacentral:rRNA from 1 species